GACGUAGGUGGCGAACGUUAUCCGGAAUCAUUGGGCGUAAAGGGUGCGUAGGUGGCCUGGCAAGUUAUCAGUGGUAAAUCGAGGCCCAACCUCGUGGAAACUGGCAAUACUGCUUGGCUUGAGUGCAGGAGAGGUUAACGGAACUCUAUGUGGAGCGGUAAAAUGCACAGAUAUAUAGAAGAACAUCAAUAACGGCGAAGGCAGUUAACUAUUCUGUUACUGACACUGAGGCACGAAAGCGUGGGGAGCAAAACGG
rnacentral:rRNA from 1 species